GUCUCUGUGGUGAAAUGGGUUAGUGCACUUGGCUGAUAACCAAAAGGUUGGUUGUUUAGUUCCACCCAGGGAUG
rnacentral:tRNA from 1 species